rnacentral:rRNA from 1 species
AGCGAACGCUGGCGGCAGGCUUAACACAUGCAAGUCGAACGGGUGUAGCAAUACAUCAGUGGCAGACGGGUGAGUAACACGUGGGAACCUUCCUAGGGGUACGGAACAACUCAGGGAAACUUGAGCUAAUACCGUAUACGUCCGUGAGGAGAAAGAUUUAUCGCCCUUAGACGGGCCCGCGUCGGAUUAGCGAGUUGGUGGGGUAACGGCCUACCAAGGCGACGAUCCGUAGCUGAUCUUAGAGGAUGAUCAGCCACACUGGGACUGAGACACGGCCCAGACUCCUACGGGAGGCAGCAGUGGGGAAUCUUGGACAAUGGGCGCAAGCCUGAUCCAGCCAUGCCGCGUGAGUGAAGAAGGUCUUCGGAUUGUAAAGCUCUUUUGCCAGGGACGAUAAUGACGGUACCUGGAGAAUAAGCCCCGGCAAACUUCGUGCCAGCAGCCGCCGUAACAC